CCUACGGGUGGCUGCAGUAGGGAAUAUUGGACAAUGGGUGCAAGCCUGAUCCAGCCAUGCCGCGUGCAGGAAGAAGGCCUUCUGGGUUGUAAACUGCUUUUGCCAGAGGAUAAAAAGCCCAUGCGUGGGAAAUUGAAGGUACCUGGUGAAUAAGCCACGGCUAACUACGUGCCAGCAGCCGCGGUAAUACGUAGGUGGCAAGCGUUGUCCGGAUUUAUUGGGUUUAAAGGGUGCGUAGGCGGUUCUAUAAGUCAGUGGUGAAAUCCGGCAGCUCAACUGUCGAUGUGCCAUUGAUACUGCAGAACUUGAGUACUGAUGAGGUAGGCGGAAUUGACGGUGUAGCGGUGAAAUGCUUAGAUAUCGUCAAGAACACCGAUAGCGAAGGCAGCUUACUAAAGAGUAACUGACGCUGAUGCACGAAAGUGUGGGGAUCAAACAGGAUUAGAUACCCCUGUAGUC
rnacentral:rRNA from 1 species